UACGUAGGUGGCAAGCGUUGUCCGGAUUUACUGGGCGUAAAGGAUGCGUAGGCGGACAUUUAAGUCAGAUGUGAAAUACCCGAGCUUAACUUGGGUGCUGCAUUUGAAACUGGGUGUCUAGAGUGCAGGAGAGGUAAGUGGAAUUCCGUAGUGUAGCGGUGAAAUGCGUAGAGAUUAGGAAGAACACCAGUGGCGAAGGCGACUUACUGGACUGUAACUGACGCUGAGGCAUGAAAGCGUGGGGAGCAAACAGG
rnacentral:rRNA from 1 species